AUUGAACGCUGGCGGCAGGCCUAACACAUGCAAGUCGAACGAGUGGCGGACGGGUGAGUAAUGUCUGGGAAACUGCCUGAUGGAGGGGGAUAACUACUGGAAACGGUAGCUAAUACCGCAUACCAUCGGAUGUGCCCAGAUGGGAUUAGCUAGUGGGUGGGGUAAAGGCUCACCUGGGCGACGAUCCCUAGCUGGUCUGAGAGGAUGACCAGCCCAAUGGGAACUGAGAAACGGGCCAGAUUCCGACGGGGGGCAGCAGGGGGGAAUAUUGGACAAUGGGCGAAAGCCUGAGGCAGCCAGGCCGCGUGGGUGAAGAAGGCUUUCGGGUUGUAAAGCACUUUCAGCGGGGAGGCGUUACCCGCAGAAGAAGCACCGGCUAACUCCGUGCCAGCAGCCGCGGUAAUAC
rnacentral:rRNA from 1 species